AAUCCAUAGGUUAAUGAGGCGAACCGGGGGAACUGAAACAUCUAAGUACCCCGAGGAAAAGAAAUCAACCGAGAUUCCCCCAGUAGCGGCGAGCGAACGGGGAGGAGCCCAGAGCCUGAAUCAGCAUGUGUGUUAGUGGAAGCGUCUGGAAAGGCGCGCGAUACAGGGUGACAGCCCCGUACACAAAAGCGCAUGUGCUGUGAGCUCGAUGAGUAGGGCGGGACACGUGGUAUCCUGUCUGAAUAUGGGGGGACCAUCCUCCAAGGCUAAAUACUCCUGACUGACCGAUAGUGAACCAGUACCGUGAGGGAAAGGCGAAAAGAACCCCGGCGAGGGGAGUGAAAAAGAACCUGAAACCGUGUACGUACAAGCAGUGGGAGCACCCUUUGGGUGUGACUGCGUACCUUUUGUAUAAUGGGUCAGCGACUUAUAUUCUGUAGCAAGGUUAACCGAAUAGGGGAGCCGGAGGGAAACCGAGUCUUAACCGGGCGUUAAGUUGCAGGGUAUAGACCCGAAACCCGGUGAUCUAGCCAUGGGCAGGUUGAAGGUUGGGUAACACUAACUGGAGGACCGAACCGACUAAUGUUGAAAAAUUAGCGGAUGACCUGUGGCUGGGGGUGAAAGGCCAAUCAAACCGGGAGAUAGCUGGUUCUCCCCGAAAGCUAUUUAGGUAGCGCCUCGUGAAUUCAUCUCCGGGGGUAGAGCACUGUUUCGGCUAGGGGGCCAUCCCGGCUUACCAACCCGAUGCAAACUGCGAAUACCGGAGAAUGUUAUCACGGGAGACACACGGCGGGUGCUAACGUCCGUCGUGAAGAGGGAAACAACCCAGACCGCCAGCUAAGGUCCCAAAGUCAUGGUUAAGUGGGAAACGAUGUGGGAAGGCCCAGACAGCCAGGAUGUUGGCUUAGAAGCAGCCAUCAUUUAAAGAAAGCGUAAUAGCUCACUGGUCGAGUCGGCCUGCGCGGAAGAUGUAACGGGGCUAAACCAUGCACCGAAGCUGCGGCAGCGACACUGUGUGUUGUUGGGUAGGGGAGCGUUCUGUAAGCCUGUGAAGGUGUGUCGUGAGGCAUGCUGGAGGUAUCAGAAGUGCGAAUGCUGACAUAAGUAACGAUAAAGCGGGUGAAAAGCCCGCUCGCCGGAAGACCAAGGGUUCCUGUCCAACGUUAAUCGGGGCAGGGUGAGUCGACCCCUAAGGCGAGGCCGAAAGGCGUAGUCGAUGGGAAACGGGUUAAUAUUCCCGUACUUGGUGUUACUGCGAAGGGGGGACGGAGAAGGCUAUGUUGGCCGGGCGACGGUUGUCCCGGUUUAAGCGUGUAGGUGUGUGUUCCAGGUAAAUCCGGUUCACUUUAACACUGAGGCGUGACGACGAGGCACUACGGUGCUGAAGCAACAAAUGCCCUGCUUCCAGGAAAAGCCUCUAAGCAUCAGGUAACAUCAAAUCGUACCCCAAACCGACACAGGUGGUCAGGUAGAGAAUACCAAGGCGCUUGAGAGAACUCGGGUGAAGGAACUAGGCAAAAUGGUGCCGUAACUUCGGGAGAAGGCACGCUGACACGUAGGUGAAGUGAUUUACUCAUGGAGCUGAAGUCAGUCGAAGAUACCAGCUGGCUGCAACUGUUUAUUAAAAACACAGCACUGUGCAAACACGAAAGUGGACGUAUACGGUGUGACGCCUGCCCGGUGCCGGAAGGUUAAUUGAUGGGGUCAGCGCAAGCGAAGCUCCUGAUCGAAGCCCCGGUAAACGGCGGCCGUAACUAUAACGGUCCUAAGGUAGCGAAAUUCCUUGUCGGGUAAGUUCCGACCUGCACGAAUGGCGUAAUGAUGGCCAGGCUGUCUCCACCCGAGACUCAGUGAAAUUGAACUCGCUGUGAAGAUGCAGUGUACCCGCGGCAAGACGGAAAGACCCCGUGAACCUUUACUAUAGCUUGACACUGAACAUUGAGCCUUGAUGUGUAGGAUAGGUGGGAGGCUUUGAAGUGUGGACGCCAGUCUGCAUGGAGCCGACCUUGAAAUACCACCCUUUAAUGUUUGAUGUUCUAACGUGGACCCGUUACCCGGGUUGCGGACAGUGUCUGGUGGGUAGUUUGACUGGGGCGGUCUCCUCCUAAAGAGUAACGGAGGAGCACGAAGGUUGGCUAAUCCUGGUCGGACAUCAGGAGGUUAGUGCAAUGGCAUAAGCCAGCUUGACUGCGAGCGUGACGGCGCGAGCAGGUGCGAAAGCAGGUCAUAGUGAUCCGGUGGUUCUGAAUGGAAGGGCCAUCGCUCAACGGAUAAAAGGUACUCCGGGGAUAACAGGCUGAUACCGCCCAAGAGUUCAUAUCGACGGCGGUGUUUGGCACCUCGAUGUCGGCUCAUCACAUCCUGGGGCUGAAGUAGGUCCCAAGGGUAUGGCUGUUCGCCAUUUAAAGUGGUACGCGAGCUGGGUUUAGAACGUCGUGAGACAGUUCGGUCCCUAUCUGCCGUGGGCGCUGGAGAACUGAGGGGGGCUGCUCCUAGUACGAGAGGACCGGAGUGGACGCAUCACUGGUGUUCGGGUUGUCAUGCCAAUGGCACUGCCCGGUAGCUAAAUGCGGAAGAGAUAAGUGCUGAAAGCAUCUAAGCACGAAACUUGCCCCGAGAUGAGUUCUCCCUGAGACUUAGAGUCUCCUGAAGGAACGUUGAAGACGACGACGUUGAUAGGCCGGGUGUGUAAGCGCAGCGAUGCGUUGAGCUAACCGGUACUAAUGAACCGUGAGGCUUAACCUUACAACGCCG
rnacentral:rRNA from 1 species